CUCAGCAGAGGCGUUUCUGUCCUCAUCACCUCUUGAGCAUUUUGAACCUGGAUCUUCUUCAUUUGUUCAAACUGUAUGAGAACUUAGUGUGUACAUGGCUGGUGCAGUGUCCUGAUGCCCGGGGACAGUGUGUGCUUGAAAGAAAGCUUUACUGCCUAUUUGUGAGUUUCCUUCAGAUGCACACUGCUGAGCUCACGCUGACCAUGUGCUUUAGAGUUAGGGGAGCGCUGCCGCUUCCUCAGGCUCAGAGCCUCAGGCCAGGAGAGCCUCAGCAAGGCUCAUCAGGAGCACGUACCUGCCAUGGUGAGGCCAUUCAUGAUAUCAUCACUGUGAGCCACAGGAAGGGUUGGGGUGGGGGUGGGAAUGUCCUUAACCACCACACACGCACGCGCGUGU
rnacentral:lncRNA from 1 species